rnacentral:lncRNA from 1 species
CACAUUUGCAUUUUUUUGGAUUGUCAUCAGUCUCAUUGUGCCAUGUUUCCAAUCUGCACGUGUGCGGAUGUGCAACCGGGAGACACAGACAGGCACCAAGAGCCAGUAAUGAAAAUCCCACCUUCUCCUUGUAAGCAAACCUUAUCCAAGGACCCAGGACACUUGCUUGACCCAAUUAUGCAGAAACUCCACUGCUUCUUCCUCCUCCUGAUAUGCUGUGAGAGAGGAAAGGAAGAGGGGCCGACAGAGAAGGGGUGUGGUGAGCUCAGACAACUGUGAGUGGAAUUGCUGAGUCAUGUGGCAAACUACCAGUUCUGUUGAACCUCAGGGCCAUCAUUCUGUUCAUGUCAGCUCGUUGUAGAACCACAUCGAUGAAGACCAAGAUGGUAAAGAUGAAAAAUUGUAGCUAACAUUUACUGCACAUUUACUACAAGCCAAGCAUUGCACUAUGAAGUUUAAGUGCAUUAUUCAUUAACCCCUUCAAUAAAAUUUGUAAUUUUCAUUUCAGAAGCAAAUAUUCGUGUUGUACAAAUUUCUGAUUGCCCUAAAUGUAGAGAGACUGAUGGGGAAAGUAUGAUGGGUUUGAUUUUUAUAUCAAAUCAUCAGGCAUGGAGAAAUAUCUUUUAGAAGUGUU